UUAAGCGACUAAGCGUACACGGUGGAUGCCCUGGCAGUCAGAGGCGAUGAAGGACGUGCUAAUCUGCGAAAAGCGUCGGUAAGGUGAUAUGAACCGUUAUAACCGGCGAUGUGUCCGAAUAUGGGGAAACCCAGUGCAAAAUUCGUUGCACUAUCGUUAACUGAAUACAUAGGUUAACGAGGCGAACCGGGGGAACUGAAACAUCUAAGUACCCCGAGGAAAAGAAAUCAACCGAGAUUCCCCCAGUAGCGGCGAGCGAACGGGGAGCAGCCCAGAGUCUGAAUCAGCUUGUGUGUUAGUGGAACGGUCUGGAAAGUCCGACGGUACAGGGUGAUAGUCCCGUACACCAAAAUGCACAGGCUGUGAACUCGAAGAGUAGGGCGGGACACGUGGUAUCCUGUCUGAAUAUGGGGGGACCAUCCUCCAAGGCUAAAUACUCCUGACUGACCGAUAGUGAACCAGUACCGUGAGGGAAAGGCGAAAAGAACCCCGGCGAGGGGAGUGAAAAAGAACCUGAAACCGUGUACGUACAAGCAGUGGGAGCACCUUUAUGGUGUGACUGCGUACCUUUUGUAUAAUGGGUCAGCGACUUAUAUUCUGUAGCAAGGUUAACCGUAUAGGGGAGCCGCAGGGAAACCGAGUCUUAACUGGGCGUUAAGUUGCAGGGUAUAGACCCGAAACCCGGUGAUCUAGCCAUGGGCAGGUUGAAGGUUGGGUAACACUAACUGGAGGACCGAACCGACUAAUGUUGAAAAAUUAGCGGAUGACUUGUGGCUGGGGGUGAAAGGCCAAUCAAACCGGGAGAUAGCUGGUUCUCCCCGAAAGUAUUUAGGUAGCGCCUCGUGAACUCAUCUUCGGGGGUAGAGCACUGUUUCGGCUAGGGGGUCAUCCCGACUUACCAACCCGAUGCAAACUACGAAUACCGAAGAAUGUUAUCACGGGAGACACACGGCGGGUGCUAACGUCCGUCGUGAAGAGGGAAACAACCCAGACCGCCAGCUAAGGUCCCAAAGUCAUGGUUAAGUGGGAAACGAUGUGGGAAGGCACAGACAGCCAGGAUGUUGGCUUAGAAGCAGCCAUCAUUUAAAGAAAGCGUAAUAGCUCACUGGUCGAGUCGGCCUGCGCGGAAGAUGUAACGGGGCUAAACCAUGCACCGAAGCUGCGGCAGCGACACUAUGUGUUGUUGGGUAGGGGAGCGUUCUGUAAGCCUGCGAAGGUGGCCUGUGAGGGUUGCUGGAGGUAUCAGAAGUGCGAAUGCUGACAUAAGUAACGAUAAAGCGGGUGAAAAGCCCGCUCGCCGGAAGACCAAGGGUUCCUGUCCAACGUUAAUCGGGGCAGGGUGAGUCGACCCCUAAGGCGAGGCCGAAAGGCGUAGUCGAUGGGAAACAGGUUAAUAUUCCUGUACUUGGUGUUACUGCGAAGGGGGGACGGAGAAGGCUAUGUUAGCCGGGCGACGGUUGUCCCGGUUUAAGCAUGUAGGCUGGUUAUCCAGGCAAAUCCGGAUAAUCAAGGCUGAGGUGUGAUGACGAGGCACUACGGUGCUGAAGUAACAAAUGCCCUGCUUCCAGGAAAAGCCUCUAAGCAUCAGGUAACAUCAAAUCGUACCCCAAACCGACACAGGUGGUCAGGUAGAGAAUACCAAGGCGCUUGAGAGAACUCGGGUGAAGGAACUAGGCAAAAUGGUGCCGUAACUUCGGGAGAAGGCACGCUGGUGUGUAGGUGAAGUCCCUGCGGAUGGAGCUGAGACCAGUCGAAGAUACCAGCUGGCUGCAACUGUUUAUUAAAAACACAGCACUGUGCAAACACGAAAGUGGACGUAUACGGUGUGACGCCUGCCCGGUGCCGGAAGGUUAAUUGAUGGGGUUAUCCGUAAGGAGAAGCUCUUGAUCGAAGCCCCGGUAAACGGCGGCCGUAACUAUAACGGUCCUAAGGUAGCGAAAUUCCUUGUCGGGUAAGUUCCGACCUGCACGAAUGGCGUAAUGAUGGCCAGGCUGUCUCCACCCGAGACUCAGUGAAAUUGAACUCGCUGUGAAGAUGCAGUGUACCCGCGGCAAGACGGAAAGACCCCGUGAACCUUUACUAUAGCUUGACACUGAACAUUGAGCCUUGAUGUGUAGGAUAGGUGGGAGGCUUUGAAGCGUGGACGCCAGUCUGCGUGGAGCCAACCUUGAAAUACCACCCUUUAAUGUUUGAUGUUCUAACGUUGGCCCCUUACCGGGGUUGCGGACAGUGUCUGGUGGGUAGUUUGACUGGGGCGGUCUCCUCCCAAAGCGUAACGGAGGAGCACGAAGGUUAGCUAAUCCUGGUCGGACAUCAGGAGGUUAGUGCAAUGGCAUAAGCUAGCUUGACUGCGAGCGUGACGGCGCGAGCAGGUGCGAAAGCAGGUCAUAGUGAUCCGGUGGUUCUGAAUGGAAGGGCCAUCGCUCAACGGAUAAAAGGUACUCCGGGGAUAACAGGCUGAUACCGCCCAAGAGUUCAUAUCGACGGCGGUGUUUGGCACCUCGAUGUCGGCUCAUCACAUCCUGGGGCUGAAGUAGGUCCCAAGGGUAUGGCUGUUCGCCAUUUAAAGUGGUACGCGAGCUGGGUUUAGAACGUCGUGAGACAGUUCGGUCCCUAUCUGCCGUGGGCGCUGGAGAAUUGAGGGGGGCUGCUCCUAGUACGAGAGGACCGGAGUGGACGCAUCACUGGUGUUCGGGUUGUCAUGCCAAUGGCACUGCCCGGUAGCUAAAUGCGGAAGAGAUAAGUGCUGAAAGCAUCUAAGCACGAAACUUGCCCCGAGAUGAGUUCUCCCUGAGACUUUAAGUCUCCUGAAGGAACGUUGAAGACGACGACGUUGAUAGGCCGGGUGUGUAAGCGCAGCGAUGCGUUGAGCUAACCGGUACUAAUGAACCGUGAGGCUUAACCUU
rnacentral:rRNA from 1 species